rnacentral:sRNA from 1 species
UUCAAUGAUUCAUGUGUAACAGGGCUGC